GUUAAAGGUGUUAACAGAAAAGCAACAUGAAGAAGCAGCAAGAAAUGAAUACAACUUUGAUCAUCCUGAUGCCUUCGACUUUGAGUUGGUUGCAAAGACACUAGUAAGAUUAAAGGAAGGGAAGAAGGUUGAAGUUCCGAUAUACAACUUUGUCACACACUCCCGAGAAGUGAGAACUAAAACUAUGUAUGGUGCCAAUGUCAUUAUAUUUGAAGGGAUUUUAGCUUUCUACUCCCCAGAUGUGUUGAAGUUGUUAGAUAUGAAAGUAUUUGUUGACACUGAUUCGGAUGAAAGAUUGGUGCGGCGACUGCAGAGAGAUAUUGCUGAACGAGAGAGAGAGCUUGAUGGUGUCCUUAAGCAGUAUUUCAAGUUUGUGAAGCCUGCAUUUGAUUACUAUAUUGCUCCAUC